rnacentral:rRNA from 1 species
CCUACGGGAGGCAGCAGUGAGGAAUAUUGGUCAAUGGGAGAGAUCCUGAACCAGCCAAGCCGCGUGAGGGAAGACGGCCCUAUGGGUUGUAAACCUCUUUUGUCGGAGAACAAAACCCGGGACGUGUCCCGUACUGCGUGUAUCCGAUGAAUAAGCAUCGGCUAACUCCGUGCCAGCAGCCGCGGUAAUACGGAGGAUCCGAGCGUUAUCCGGAUUUAUUGGGUUUAAAGGGUGCGUAGGCGGUCCGUUAAGUCAGCGGUAAAAUUGCGGGGCUCAACCCCGUCGAGCCGUUGAAACUGGCAGACUUGAGUUGGCGAGAAGUACGCGGAAUGCGCGGUGUAGCGGUGAAAUGCAUAGAUAUCGCGCAGAACUCCGAUUGCGAAGGCAGCGUACCGGCGCCAGACUGACGCUGAGGCACGAAAGCGUGGGGAUCGAACAGGAUUAGAUACCCGAGUAGUC